GACGGAUCACCCAAUGUGUGGUCUUUGAUUUGAAAUCAAGGUAGGUGGGUUGCGUGAACCUGCAUCUGUUU
rnacentral:tRNA from 1 species